GCGGAUGCCCCAGCGGGGCCGCACCGCUCCACCAAAGCGGCCCCGCCCCACUCCCCC
rnacentral:ncRNA from 1 species